AGCGGAGGAAAAGAAACCAACCGGGAUUGCCUUAGUAACGGCGAGUGAAGCGGCAAAAGCUCAAAUUUGAAAUCUGGUACCUUCGGUGCCCGAGUUGUAAUUUGGAGAGGGCAACUUUGGGGCCGUUCCUUGUCUAUGUUCCUUGGAACAGGACGUCAUAGAGGGUGAGAAUCCCGUGUGGCGAGGAGUGCGGUUCUUUGUAAAGUGCCUUCGAAGAGUCGAGUUGUUUGGGAAUGCAGCUCUAAGUGGGUGGUAAAUUCCAUCUAAAGCUAAAUAUUGGCGAGAGACCGAUAGCGAACAAGUACAGUGAUGGAAAGAUGAAAAGAACUUUGAAAAGAGAGUGAAAAAGUACGUGAAAUUGUUGAAAGGGAAGGGCAUUUGAUCAGACAUGGUGUUUUGUGCCCUCUGCUCCUUGUGGGUAGGGGAAUCUCGCAUUUCACUGGGCCAGCAUCAGUUUUGGUGGCAGGAUAAAUCCAUAGGAAUGUAGCUUGCCUCGGUAAGUAUUAUAGCCUGUGGGAAUACUGCCAGCUGG
rnacentral:rRNA from 1 species